rnacentral:rRNA from 1 species
AGAGUUUGAUCCUGGCUCAGGAUAAACGCUGGCGGCGUGCUUAACACAUGCAAGUCGAACGAGAACUACAUUGACAAGAAGCUUGCUUCAAGGAUAUAUAGUUCGAGUGGCGGACGGGUGAGUAACGCGUGAGUAACCUGCCGUAUACCGGGGGACAACAGAGGGAAACUUCUGCUAAUACCGCAUAAGCGCACAGUGCCACAUGGCACAGUGUGAAAAACUCCGGUGGUAUACGAUGGACUCGCGUCUGAUUAGCCAGUUGGUGAGGUAACGGCUCACCAAAGCAACGAUCAGUAGCCGGCCUGAGAGGGUGAACGGCCACAUUGGGACUGAGACACGGCCCAGACUCCUACGGGAGGCAGCAGUGGGGAAUAUUGCACAAUGGAGGAAACUCUGAUGCAGCGACGCCGCGUGAGUGAAGAAGUAUUUCGGUAUGUAAAGCUCUAUCAGCAGGGAAGAAAGAAAUGACGGUACCUGACUAAGAAGCCCCGGCUAACUACGUGCCAGCAGCCGCGGUAAUACGUAGGGGGCAAGCGUUAUCCGGAUUUACUGGGUGUAAAGGGAGCGUAGACGGCGAUGCAAGUCAGAUGUGAAAACCCAUGGCUCAACCAUGGGAUUGCAUUUGAAACUGUGUUGCUAGAGUGCAGGAGAGGUAAGCGGAAUUCCUGGUGUAGCGGUGAAAUGCGUAGAUAUCAGGAGGAACACCGGUGGCGAAGGCGGCUUACUAGACUGUAACUGACGUUGAGGCUCGAAGGCGUGGGUAGCAAACAGGAUUAGAUACCCUGGUAGUCCACGCAGUAAACGAUGAUUACCAGGUGUCGGGAGACAUAGUCUCUCGGUGCCGCAGCAAACGCAGUGAGUAAUCCACCUGGGGAGUACGUUCGCAAGAAUGAAACUCAAAUGAAUUGACGG